rnacentral:rRNA from 1 species
GACGAACGCUGGCGGCGUGCUUAACACAUGCAAGUCGAACGGAAAGGCCCUGCUUUUGUGGGGUGCUCGAGUGGCGAACGGGUGAGUAACACGUGAGUAACCUGCCCUUGACUUUGGGAUAACUUCAGGAAACUGCGGCUAAUACCGGAUAGGAGCUCCUGCUGCAUGGUGGGGGUUGGAAAGUUUCGGCGGUUGGGGAUGGACUCGCGGCUUAUCAGCUUGUUGGUGGGGUAGUGGCUUACCAAGGCUUUGACGGGUAGCCGGCCUGAGAGGGUGACCGGCCACAUUGGGACUGGGAUACGGCCCAGACUCCUACGGGAGGCAGCAGUGGGGAAUAUUGCACAAUGGGCGGAAGCCGGAUGCAGCAACGCCGCGUGCGGGAUGACGGCCUUCGGGUUGUAAACCGCUUUCGCCUGUGACGAAGCGUGAGUGACGGUAAUAGGUAAAGAAGCACCGGCUAACUACGU